GGGAAGUAAAAAAAUCGUAACAAGGUUUCCGUAGGUGAACCUGCGG
rnacentral:rRNA from 1 species